rnacentral:SRP_RNA from 1 species
CCGUGCUAGACGGGGAGUUUGCGGUGCCCUAUAACCUGCAACCCGCAACAGCAGGGUUGAAUUCCUUUGCCGAGGUAGACGCUUGUGAGGUCUGCCCCUGAUAAGUGAUGUUGAUGAUUGGGUCUUGCGCAACGAAAAUUUAUGAACCCCGUCAGGCCUGGAAGGGAGCAGCGGUAAGUAAACUCUUUCGUGUGCCGUAGGGGUGCCUGGUUGGAGUUAACUGUCAGGGUUACGCUUGGAACUGUUCUGCCGAAGAAAGGUGCACGG